rnacentral:rRNA from 1 species
AGUGAACGCUGGCGGUAGGCCUAACACAUGCAAGUCGAACGGCAGCACAGUAAGAGCUUGCUCUUACGGGUGGCGAGUGGCGGACGGGUGAGGAAUACAUCGGAAUCUACUUUUUCGUGGGGGAUAACGUAGGGAAACUUACUCUAAUACCGCAUACGACCUACGGGUGAAAGCAGGGGAUCUUCGGACCUUGCGCGAUUGAAUGAGCCGAUGUCGGAUUAGCUAGUUGGCGGGGUAAAGGCCCACCAAGGCGACGAUCCGUAGCUGGUCUGAGAGGAUGAUCAGCCACACUGGAACUGAGAGACGGUCCAGACUCCUACGGGAGGCAGCAGUGGGGAAUAUUGGACAAUGGGCGCAAGCCUGAUCCAGCCAUACCGCGUGGGUGAAGAAGGCCUUCGGGUUGUAAAGCCCUUUUGUUGGGAAAGAAAAGCAGCAGGUUAAUACCCCGCUGUUCUGACGGUACCCAAAGAAUAAGCACCGGCUAACUUCGUG